rnacentral:rRNA from 1 species
UACGGGGGGGGCAAGCGUUGUUCGGAAUUACUGGGCGUAAAGGGUUCGUAGGUGGCCUGCUAAGUCAGACGUGAAAUCCCUCAGCUUAACUGGGGAACUGCGUCUGAGACUGGGAGGCUUGAGUGCAGGAGAGGAACGCGGAAUUCCAGGUGUAGCGGUGAAAUGCGUAGAUAUCUGGAGGAACACCGGUGGCGAAGGCGGCUCUCUGGGCCUUACCUGACGCUGAGGAGCGAAAGCGUGGGUAGCGAACAGG